GUCUACAGCCAUACCACCCUGAACACGCCGGAUCUCGUCUGACCUCGGAAGCUAAGCAGGGCCGGGCCUGGUUAGUACUUGGAUGGGAGAAAUAAGCAAUCACCUAAAAUGUAAGUGAAGUCU
rnacentral:rRNA from 1 species